rnacentral:rRNA from 1 species
UGCAGUCGAGCGAACAGAUAAGGAGCUUGCUCCUUUGAAGUUAGCGGCGGACGGGUGAGUAACACGUGGGUAACCUACCUAUAAGACUGGGAUAACUUCGGGAAACCGGAGCUAAUACCGGAUAACAUUUAGAACCGCAUGGUUCUAAAGUGAAAGAUGGUUUUGCUAUCACUUAUAGAUGGACCCGCGCCGUAUUAGCUAGUUGGUAAGGUAACGGCUUACCAAGGCGACGAUACGUAGCCGACCUGAGAGGGUGAUCGGCCACACUGGAACUGAGACACGGUCCAGACUCCUACGGGAGGCAGCAGUAGGGAAUCUUCCGCAAUGGGCGAAAGCCUGACGGAGCAACGCCGCGUGAGUGAUGAAGGGUUUCGGCUCGUAAAACUCUGUUAUUAGGGAAGAACAAAUGUGUAAGUAACUGUGCACAUCUUGACGGUACCUAAUCAGAAAGCCACGGCUAACUACGUGCCAGCAGCCGCGGUAAUACGUAGGUGGCAAGCGUUAUCCGGAAUUAUUGGGCGUAAAGCGCGCGUAGGCGGUUUCUUAAGUCUGAUGUGAAAGCCCACGGCUCAACCGUGGAGGGUCAUUGGAAACUGGGAAACUUGAGUGCAGAAGAGGAAAGUGGAAUUCCAUGUGUAGCGGUGAAAUGCGCAGAGAAUAUGGAGGAACACCAGUGGCGAAGGCGACUUUCUGGUCUGUAACUGACGCUGAUGUGCGAAAGCGUGGGGAUCAAACAGGAUUAGAUACCCUGGUAGUCCACGCCGUAAACGAUGAGUGCUAAGUGUUAGGGGGUUUCCGCCCCUUAGUGCUGCAGCUAACGCAUUAAGCACUCCGCCUGGGGAGUACGACCGCAAGGUUGAAACUCAAAGGAAUUGACGGGGACCCGCACAAGCGGUGGAGCAUGUGGUUUAAUUCGAAGCAACGCGAAGAACCUUACCAAAUCUUGACAUCCUUUGAAAACUCUAGAGAUAGAGCCUUCCCCUUCGGGGGACAAAGUGACAGGUGGUGCAUGGUUGUCGUCAGCUCGUGUCGUGAGAUGUUGGGUUAAGUCCCGCAACGAGCGCAACCCUUAAGCUUAGUUGCCAUCAUUAAGUUGGGCACUCUAGGUUGACUGCCGGUGACAAACCGGAGGAAGGUGGGGAUGACGUCAAAUCAUCAUGCCCCUUAUGAUUUGGGCUACACACGUGCUACAAUGGACAAUACAAAGGGCAGCUAAACCGCGAGGUCAUGCAAAUCCCAUAAAGUUGUUCUCAGUUCGGAUUGUAGUCUGCAACUCGACUACAUGAAGCUGGAAUCGCUAGUAAUCGUAGAUCAGCAUGCUACGGUGAAUACGUUCCCGGGUCUUGUACACACCGCCCGUCACACCACGAGAGUUUGUAACACCCGAAGCCGGUGGAGUAACCAUUUAU